UACAGAGGGUGCUAGCGUUGUUCGGAAUUAUUGGGCGUAAAGCGCGUGUAGGCGGUCCGGUAAGUCGGCUGUGAAAGUCCAGGGCUCAACCCUGGGAUGCCGGUCGAUACUGCCGGACUAGAGUUCGGAAGAGGCGAGUGGAAUUCCCGGUGUAGCGGUGGAAUGCGCAGAUAUCAGGAAGAACACCGGUGGCGAAGGCGGCUCUCUGGGCCUUACCUGACGCUGAGGAGCGAAAGCGUGGGUAGCGAACAGG
rnacentral:rRNA from 1 species